rnacentral:rRNA from 1 species
GACGAACGCUGGCGGCGUGCCUAAUACAUGCAAGUAGAACGCACAGUUUAUACCGUAGCUUGCUACACCAUAGACUGUGAGUUGCGAACGGGUGAGUAACGCGUAGGUAACCUGCCUGGUAGCGGGGGAUAACUGUUGGAAACGAUAGCUAAUACCGCAUAAUAUUGAUUAUUGCAUGAUAAUUAAUUGAAAGGUGCAAUUGCACCACUACCAGAUGGACCUGCGUUGUAUUAGCUAGUAGGUGAGGUAACGGCUCACCUAGGCGACGAUACAUAGCCGACCUGAGAGGGUGAUCGGCCACACUGGGACUGAGACACGGCCCAGACUCCUACGGGAGGCAGCAGUAGGGAAUCUUCGGCAAUGGACGAAAGUCUGACCGAGCAACGCCGCGUGAGUGAAGAAGGUUUUCGGAUCGUAAAGCUCUGUUGUAAGAGAAGAACGGGUGUGAGAGUGGAAAGUUCACACUGUGACGGUAUCUUACCAGAAAGGGACGGCUAACUACGUG